rnacentral:misc_RNA from 1 species
CCAAUAGCGUAUAUUAAAGUUGUUGCAGUUAAAAAGCUCGUAGUUGAAUUUCGGGGUUCUUCCGUUGGUCAGGCUAACAAGUCUGAACUAACGUGUAGAAUCUCUACCUUCUGGGGAACCAUCAUGUUAUUAAUUUAGCGUGGUGGGAAACCAGGACCUUUACCUUGAAAAAAUUAGAGUGUUCAAAGCAGGCUUACGUCUGAAUACAUUAGCAUGGAAAAAUAAAAUAGGACGGUGGUCCUGUUUUGUUGGUUUCUGAAUCACCGUAAUGAUUAAUAGGGAUAGUUGGGGGCAUUAGUAUUCAAUUGUCAGAGGUGAAAUUCUUGGAUUUAUUGAAGACUAACUUCUGCGAAAGCAUUUGCCAAGGAUGUUUUCAUUAAUCAAGAACGAAAGUUAGGGGAUCGAAGACGAUCAGAUACCGUCGUAGUCUUAACCAUAAACUAUGCCGACUAGGGAUCGGACGAGGUUAAAUUUUAUUGACUCGUUCGGCGCCUUACG